rnacentral:rRNA from 1 species
ACGAACGCUGGCGGGCGCGCUUAAAUACAUGCAAGUCGAGCGAGAACCAUGGCUUCGGCCAUGGGGACAGCGGCGAACGGGUGAGUAACACGUGGGCAAUCAACCCCCGACACUGGGAUAGCCCGGGGAAACCCGGAUUAAUACCGGAUGCUCCGUCUGGGCCCUCGGGCCGGCCGGAAAAAGGGUAGCUUCGGCCUCCGGUCGGGGACGAGCCCGCGGCGGAAUUAGCUUGUUGGUGGGGUAAUGGCCCACCAAGGCGACGAUCCGUAGCUGGUCUGAGAGGACGAUCAGCCACACUGGGACUGAGACACGGCCCAGACUCCUACGGGAGGCAGCAGUAAGGGAAUCUUUGCGCAAUGGGCGAAAGCCUGACGCAGCGACGGCCGCAUGAGGGAAGAAGGCCCUUCGGGUUGUAAACCUCUUUCAGGAGGGACGAAGCCACUCGGGUUAAUAGCCUAGAGGGGUGACGGUACCUCCAGAAGAAGCCCCGGCUAACUACGUGCCAGCAGCCGCGGGUAAUACGUAGGGGGCAAGCGUUUGUCCGGAUUUAUUGGGCGUAAAGAGCGUGUAGGCGGCCAUACAGGUCAGCUGUGAAAACCUCGAGGCUCAACCUCGAGACGUCGGUUGAAAACCGUAUGACUAGAGUCCGGAAGAGGAGAGUGGAAUUCCCGGUGUAGCGGUGAAAUGCGCAGAUAUCGGGAAGAACACCCGUGGCGAAGGCGGCUCUCUGGGACGGUACUGACGCUGAGACGCGAAAGGCGUGGGGGAGGCGAACAGGAUUAGAUACCCUGGUAGUCCACGCCGUAAACGAUGGGUACUAGGUGUGGCGGGGUGUCGACUCCCGCUGUGCCGAAGCUAACGCAUUAAGUACCCCGCCUGGGGAGUACCGGGGCCGCAAGGCCUAAAAACUCAAAGGAAUUGACGGGGGGCCCGCACAAGCAGCGGAGCAUGUGGUUUAUAAUUCGACGCAACGCGAAGAAACCUUACCAGGGCUUGACAUGCACUGGAAAAACCGUAGAAAAUACGGUCCCCCUUCGGGGCCAGUGUGCAGGUGGUGCAUGGCUGUCGUCAGCCCGUGUCGUGAGAUGUUGGGGUUAAGUCCCGCAACGAGCCGCAACCCCUGUCCCAUGUUUGCCAGCGUGAAAGACGGGGGACUCAUGGGAGACUUGCCGGUGACAAAUCGGAGGAAGGUGGGGUCGAAGUUCAAGUCAUCAUGCCCCUUAUGUCCUGGGGCUACACACGUGCUACAUUGGCCGAUACAAAAGGGCUGCAAAACUUCCGCGAGAGGGAGCGAAUUCCCAAAAAGUCGGUCUCGGUUCGGAUUGGAGGCUGAAACUCGCCUCCAUGAAGGCGGAGUUGCUAGUAAUCGCGGAUCAGCAAUGCCGCGGUGAAUAUGUUCCCGGGGCCUUGUACACACCGCCCCGUCACACACCACGAAAGGUCGGCAAUACCCGAAGGCCGGUGGCCUAACCCCGCAAGGGAGGGAGCCGUCGAAGGUAGGGUCGAUGAUUGGGGUG